UGAUGUUUGUUAUGUUAUGUUAUGUUAUGAAAUGGUUAUGAAUAUGGUUCGGACGUUAUAAAAAAUAAAAGUUUUAAAAAUGAUUAGUUCUGAACUAGUAAGAUUGAGAUUUUCGGUAUUUGGUUUAAAUUCAAAUGGUGAUAACGCACAAAUCGCAAAUUUUCAGCAAAUCCGUUUUUAUCAAAUUUUUACCUAAUCCUAACCGAAUUGUCAAAUAAUUUGCAAAAUCAAGAACGGGAUUUCUCAAAUUUGACCAAAGAACAAAAUCAAAAGAAUGAUUAGAUAUUUGGGUACAUUUUAACCAGAAGGUGAAAAAAUAAAGUCAAAGUACUCCAGUCCCAGGCUCUAUUAUAUAGAAGGAAAAUUUUGUGAAUUUUUCAAUUUAAAUAUUAUUUUUCUUAACAAUAUUAUCAUUGAUUGAAAUAUUAUAGGGGAUGCAGGAGUUUUAAAGAGCAAAAAAAGUCAAAGUACUCCAGUCCUAAUUUUUGGAAAAUCCACAAAACAGCAUUAAGAGUCUUGUGUACUGCAACAGCAUACUACAAACUUAAAAUUAAUGACAAUGGACUUGAAUUGGAUGGUUUAAUGUUAAAAGGAGGGAAUAAUACCAUAAAACUAUAUUUGAAACAAAUGUCCUGUUGCUACAAGAAUGUAAAGGGAGUGAAAUCCAUUCAAAGAAUCAUGGACCAUUCGUGGAGAGGUCAAUCCCUGGAAUAACCUUAAGAAAUAUAGUAAGAAACGACGAAGUUCAUAGACGAACUGUAGUGGAAGAUAUGGAUUAUAUAAGGCAAAGUGGAGAUGGGCGGGAUAUUUUGCAAGAAUGGAAGACAACAGAGCUUCGAGACAUGGGUUCCUAGUAUAUGCCCGAUGACAUCAUUUCAGAAUCCGUUGUGGAAGACAAGGAAUUUUUCUUUAGGAAGUUUGCUUAGGGAAUAUUACUAUGAAGCUUUAUUUGAAACAAAUGUCCUGUUGCUGCAUCAUUGUAAAGGGAUUGAAAUCCAUUCAAAGGAGCAUUGAAUUUAUGAAAAAUAUCAAAUGUAAGCAGCCUCACUUCACAACACAGCAUCCAACCACAAUAUUGGACAAUUAGAGCUUCGAGGCAUGAGUUCCUGGUAUGUGCCUUGAUGACAUCAUUUUACAAUCUAUUAUGGAUUACAAGGAAUUUUUCUUUAAACCACUGAUCCCUCCCUGAAUUGAAGUGCAGCAAGGAACUACAUUGGAAAUUACAAGAGUAUUCAAAGAUGACAACUUACUAGUGCUGAUUUUUUACAAAUGUAUUAGCAAAGUAGUUGAUGAAAAUGUUACAUUGUAUAAGAAAUAUCUACAUGUAAAAGAUACUUUGUCAUUGUGAUAAAACGAAAGAAUCAUGUUUUAAUACUAUAACUGGAUUGGUAUAUAAAUAUUUGAGAAGUAUGAUGUUGUACAAGUAUCUUAUGUUGUCCAUUUAUUUUCCAUGGUUAAGCGGGAAAUAAUAUUGUAUAAUAUGUUAUCUAAUAUAAAUUGGAAUGACUUAAAACUGAUGGUUAAUCCGCUGUAAAUAAUCUUAUUUCUGAUCGAGUCCGCAGUACAUGUUAGAUGAUUAAAAAAAUAGUUGGCUAUUAUUAAACGUUUACAAGAUUAUAGGAUUAGGUCGUCUCAAGAUCAUUUUGUCAAAUACCAUCAAGUAAAAUUUAAAUAAACAAAUAUAAGAUAAGAUAAUUCAUCUCAUUCCAAACCGAUUUUGAUAAAAUUCUUUUUUCUUUAAAUCUUCAUUUUGUACAUUCUGUUGAUUACCAUCUAUGUACCGGGUGACCUAAUAAGAAUGGCCCUCGGUCAUAUCUCAUUAACCGUUUAUAGUACAGCUUUGAGAAAAAAAUAUUUAUAACAAAAGUUGCCUCGGGAAAAGCCUGGAAAUCAUUUUCAUAAUUGUGGGUCCACCGCUAGAGGGCGUAAUUGAAUAUCAAAAAUUAAAAAAUCAAAAUUUUACAAAAUUUACCUAAUGAAAGGGCACUGGAAAUCCAAUCAUCGUGUUCUUCAUAAAAUUCUUCGCAUAUUUGAUUUCACAAGUUUAAGUCUACCUUUGUAAAUAAGUGGUGGGGGUGAGUAGGAACCUUCUUAUGAAAAAAUGGCUGUAAGUCCGGUUCUGUUAAAUCGAAUUUAGCAUACUUGGUCUUGUUGAAAACAGCUCUUUUUCGUCAAUGUAAGUGUCUUAUAUUCGCAAUAGCCUAAUAAGUAAUAUGCCAGCUAGGAGGCGUUAUUUAAUUAUUUUCAGAAAUGUAAUUUUUUUUUGGAAAAUAUU